CAUCACAGAUCCCUCUGUAGUGUCCUUUCUUAGUUCUGCUGCUAACAGGGAAGAAUGGAGGAUGGCCAGCCAUGCAACCUGAAGCAGGCCUAGGCAAUGUCAGGAAGAGGAGCAGAAGGAAUACAAGAGCAAGAGAGGGGGGAAUGCCAUGAAAUUCUGCCAUCUGGAUAUGACACGAACAUUCCAACCAUGAGCACGAAGAGGCAAUGGAUAUCUGCCUAAGAUUGGGUCCUCCAACUUCCUAUAAAGAUCUAGAACUCGACUCCUCCAGCACCAUGUCUACCUGUGCACUGCCAUGCUUCCUGCUA